rnacentral:rRNA from 1 species
AAAUUGAAGAGUUUGAUCAUGGCUCAGAUUGAACGCUGGCGGCAGGCCUAACACAUGCAAGUCGAGCGGUAGCACAGAGAGCUUGCUCUCGGGUGACGAGCGGCGGACGGGUGAGUAAUGUCUGGGAAACUGCCUGAUGGAGGGGGAUAACUACUGGAAACGGUAGCUAAUACCGCAUAACGUCGCAAGACCAAAGUGGGGGACCUUCGGGCCUCAUGCCAUCAGAUGUGCCCAGAUGGGAUUAGCUAGUAGGUGGGGUAAUGGCUCACCUAGGCGACGAUCCCUAGCUGGUCUGAGAGGAUGACCAGCCACACUGGAACUGAGACACGGUCCAGACUCCUACGGGAGGCAGCAGUGGGGAAUAUUGCACAAUGGGCGCAAGCCUGAUGCAGCCAUGCCGCGUGUGUGAAGAAGGCCUUCGGGUUGUAAAGCACUUUCAGCGGGGAGGAAGGCGUUAAGGUUAAUAACCUUGGCGAUUGACGUUACCCGCAGAAGAAGCACCGGCUAACUCCGUGCCAGCAGCCGCGGUAAUACGGAGGGUGCAAGCGUUAAUCGGAAUUACUGGGCGUAAAGCGCACGCAGGCGGUCUGUCAAGUCGGAUGUGAAAUCCCCGGGCUCAACCUGGGAACUGCAUUCGAAACUGGCAGGCUAGAGUCUUGUAGAGGGGGGUGGAAUUCCAGGUGUAGCGGUGAAAUGCGUAGAGAUCUGGAGGAAUACCGGUGGCGAAGGCGGCCCCCUGGACAAAGACUGACGCUCAGGUGCGAAAGCGUGGGGAGCAAACAGGAUUAGAUACCCUGGUAGUCCACGCCGUAAACGAUGUCGAUUUGGAGGUUGUGCCCUUGAGGCGUGGCUUCCGGAGCUAACGCGUUAAAUCGACCGCCUGGGGAGUACGGCCGCAAGGUUAAAACUCAAAUGAAUUGACGGGGGCCCGCACAAGCGGUGGAGCAUGUGGUUUAAUUCGAUGCAACGCGAAGAACCUUACCUGGUCUUGACAUCCACAGAACUUUCCAGAGAUGGAUUGGUGCCUUCGGGAACUGUGAGACAGGUGCUGCAUGGCUGUCGUCAGCUCGUGUUGUGAAAUGUUGGGUUAAGUCCCGCAACGAGCGCAACCCUUAUCCUUUGUUGCCAGCGGUUAGGCCGGGAACUCAAAGGAGACUGCCAGUGAUAAACUGGAGGAAGGUGGGGAUGACGUCAAGUCAUCAUGGCCCUUACGACCAGGGCUACACACGUGCUACAAUGGCAUAUACAAAGAGAAGCGACCUCGCGAGAGCAAGCGGACCUCAUAAAGUAUGUCGUAGUCCGGAUUGGAGUCUGCAACUCGACUCCAUGAAGUCGGAAUCGCUAGUAAUCGUAGAUCAGAAUGCUACGGUGAAUACGUUCCCGGGCCUUGUACACACCGCCCGUCACACCAUGGGAGUGGGUUGCAAAAGAAGUAGGUAGCUUAACCUUCGGGAGGGCGCUUACCACUUUGUGAUUCAUGACUGGGGUGAAGUCGUAACAAGGUAACCGUAGGGGAACCUGCGGUUGGAUCACCUCCUUACCUUAAAGAA